UACGUAGGGCGCAAGCGUUGUCCGGAAUUAUUGGGCGUAAAGAGCUCGUAGGUGGCGUGUCGCGUCUGCCGUGAAAGCCCAUGGCUUAACUGUGGGUCUGCGGUGGGUACGGGCAGACUAGAGUGAUGUAGGGGAGACUGGAAUUCCUGGUGUAGCGGUGAAAUGCGCAGAUAUCAGGAGGAACACCGAUGGCGAAGGCAGGUCUCUGGGCAUAACUGACGCUGAGGAGCGAAAGCAUGGGGAGCGAACAGG
rnacentral:rRNA from 1 species